UCCAUUCCAUGGCUAUACCUCAUUGAACUAUCCUCACAGCCGCGCGGAUUGCAGGACUAGUCGGUCCAUAUCAGCCAGGUUUAGGGAAUCGAAUCCCAAGGUGGUCACUAUGCCCCCUUCACUCUCAGAUCAACUCUAAACACUGUCAAUGAAGCUGAUGCCUAAAGUACGAUUAAAUCCAUACAAUUGAUAUGCAAACCAAAAGCAAUGUUGAGUUCUCAUGCAAUCAUAUUUAUUACUUCAUACAUACAGUAAAAUACAAGCCUGGUUUAGUGGUCUCCCUACCUCGAGUCCAAU
rnacentral:lncRNA from 1 species